rnacentral:lncRNA from 1 species
AAAUUCCUAAGCAACUCAUACCAAAAUCUCUUGACUGAACCACUCAGAUUCAUCAUCAGAAUCUGAGUGUGCUUCGAGCUAAAUCACGUCACUCCACAAGCGUGAUAGUUCCUAGCAGAUAAGAAACCACCAUAAAAGAAAGGAAAGAGCUCGAAGGAAGCAUGAAAGGAUUCUCAAGAAAAAAAAAGGAAAAAACGUGCUUACCAAGGUCAGAUUCCAUUCUCCACGCUCACCGGAAACGUUCGUUUUCCAGUGAAGUUCAGUUUUUUUCUUUCUUCACUUUUUGUUCAUAC